AACGAACGCUGGCGGCAGGCUUAACACAUGCAAGUCGAGCGCCCCGCAAGGGGAGCGGCAGACGGGUGAGUAACGCGUGGGAAUCUACCCAUCACUACGGAACAACUCCGGGAAACUGGAGCUAAUACCGUAUACGUCCUUCGGGAGAAAGAUUUAUCGGUGAUGGAUGAGCCCGCGUUGGAUUAGCUAGUUGGUGGGGUAAUGGCCUACCAAGGCGACGAUCCAUAGCUGGUCUGAGAGGAUGAUCAGCCACACUGGGACUGAGACACGGCCCAGACUCCUGCGAGAGGCAGCAGUGGGGAAUAUUGGACAAUGGGCGAAAGCAUGAUCCAGCCAAGCCGCGUGAGUGAUGACGGCCCUAGGGUUGUAAAGCUCUUUCGCAGGUGAAGAUAAUGACGGUAACCUGAGAAGAAGCCCCGGCUAACUUCGUGCCAGCAGCCGCGGUAAAAC
rnacentral:rRNA from 1 species